rnacentral:tRNA from 2 species
GCCGGCCUAGCUCAACUGGUAGAGCAACUGACUUGUAAUUAGUAGGUUGGGGGUUCAAGUCCUCUGGCCGGCACCA